ACACUGCUAACGAGUCCCAAACAGGACGAAACAGCUGUCUAGUGU
rnacentral:hammerhead_ribozyme from 1 species